rnacentral:rRNA from 1 species
AAAACGACUCUCGGCAACGGAUAUCUCGGCUCUCGCAUCGAUGAAGAACGUAGCGAAAUGCGAUACUUGGUGUGAAUUGCAGAAUCCCGUGAACCGUCGAGUCUUUGAACGCAAGUUGCGCCCCAAGCCUUCUGGCCGAGGGCACGUCUGCCUGGGUGUCACAA